rnacentral:lncRNA from 1 species
GCUACUAAACCUUAAAAAUUCAACUUGACAAAAAUCAUUUAACUUCAAUUAAACACUAAACAUAAUAUUAAAUUACCACAUAGAUCCCCACUAGUAUGAAAUCCGUCAGUUAUUCGAUAUAUCACUAACAACUGAUAUAUAAUUCUAUUAUGACAUAUUGGUGAAGUACACUUCAUAAGGAAGAAAAUUUUUACAAUGGUGUACUAUAAAGUCUUGUCAAGUAGUGCAUUAGAUAAUACAUAUGAUGAGCUACCAAAUAUUUGUUACAUGUUGGCGAGGGAUCGAGACCAAUAUUUGAACUAAAUUGGAGGCCAAAUGAAUGUGAUAAAGCUGGACAAUUGUUUGAUCGAGAUUAUGAAGCACCAAAUGUUGAAGUUAACGAGCUAAAUCGCAAGUCCCAAGUUGGGGAUGAAGUACGAAACAAGAUGUCUCAAGUGGUUCGAGCAGCCAAAGGAGUACAGGUAAUAGUUAGUUUGACCCACGGGGUCGAAAGGAAUGAAGUUAGCAAACAAAUCCACAAAUAUAAGUGCAAGUUCGGGACCGAUCGAGAGCGAUAAAACUAUGCAGUCAAUGACCGAGGUUAUGGGGUGCAAGAGGUUGAAGAUAACCAGCCUAAAGUUCAGUUAAAACCUGGGAAUGAAGACAAGGCAAGCUGGAGCAAUAUGGUUCAGCAAGGAACGGAGUAAGGCAACCUGGGACAAACCUGCUUCACGUCUGAACGGAAAUCUAUGCGGUCGCAUAGCACCUCACAG